UUCUUAGUGGUAUAGGGAAGCAGGAACUGUUGAGAUAAAUGCCUUGCUUCCUUCCUUCUGUGCACCUGCAGAACUUCUAUUUUUUCCUUGCUCUCUGCUUUAUCACGGAACACUCUAUUACCUCUGAUCAGGUCCAGACGAUGAGCAGAAUCAAGGGGAAGCCAUAUCUGAUGUUCAUUAGCUGCUAGAGCUGUCAGCAAAAAGUUCUCUGCUGCCGUGCCACUUUCAAGGGCCAACCAGCAGAUUCACAUUUGCGUUAUUUCAGCAAGAAUGCCCAAGAGCAGUGUGCCCAGCCACAGCUGUGCGAAGUGAUGCCACAUUCAGAAUGACAGUGGUCUAAACCUCAGGGCAGUAAAUGCUUCUUGCAAUACAUUCGAUUGCCAUUUAACGGCGUUUAGCCUAAGGUAUGAAGAAAAGCUGCUGAUGCUUUCAAACCUGUUUAGAUGUUUUAAUAUUUUAUAGACACGGCAGCAGUGAAUGAGAACACUCCAAGGUGUACACAGUGAAUUCUGUAAUUAAAGCAGCUGAGUUUCCAGCGCUUUAUAAGAGAGCUCAUUGUUUGAACUUCUUAAUUAAAAGUGAUCAUAAUCUUGGAAAUUUUUCUUUGAAUUGGUCGUAUCUGAAGUGGCCACAUUUUGGCUAUGAAGGAGACAUGAAUCAAGUCAAAAGCUUUACCUCCAGAUCCCGGGCUGUCACUUGGCAGCAGUUCCUAUAUUAUAGGUAGCAUGGGUCAUCUGUGUACUGCCUCACCUCCAUACCCUAUUCACCUCUCUCACCACAAAACAAACAAGUGAGAGCUUCAAACAACACGGGCUUGCUGCCACUCCUGGUUCUAGUUUAGCAUCUCUUAUUGUUUUUGCCUGGCUUGCUCAUGAACAACAUUCAUCCACAUCACUGGCUAGGGGUGGGGAGGGGAAAAAGAUCUCUUGAGAGAGUUUUAUUAUUCAGCUCUCCUUCCCCAGUGGCAAUCAUCUUUAGAGAAGACAAAUUAGACUUUCUCUUAUGAUGGUGGCCCCAGAAAUCUCAAGGCUGUUGCAAAUGCAGCAAGACCUUUGACAGCCAAAGUGGGGACCACAAAACAUAUUUCUGCCACAUUCUAGUUGUUAGCACCACAUUAGGAUCAAGAGAUCAAACUACAAAUUUCACUUUAUAGUAGGAGCUAUCCUGAGACAUCUUAAUGGGGUAUGUGUAGAACAGUUAGAGGAAUAGACGGCCUUUAUGUCUCAUUUGACCUAAUAAUGACAUCCAUCAAGAAAUCUGUGGGGCUUUAUCAAUUUGUUAUCAAAAGAGUAAAAUCUAUUUUAGAUAUUUGUCCUAUUUUCAUCGUUUGACCAUAAUUUUAAUCUCCAGAUAUUAGAUGCAUGCGUUUCUAGUUUGAUAAUAUUUUGAGUUGGCAAUGAUCCCUGUUGAGAUUAACAGACUUAGAAUGAUAGCCAUCUUCCUAGCAAUCCAGUGGUUUGGGCAAGUUUAAAUGCAGUGACAGACAUUGGGGUUGUUCACUCUGUGUUACUAGGAUAAUUCCAUUUAACUAUGCGUACUUCUGUUUUGAACAACCUUGGUAUGUAAUGAAUCAAUCUUCACAUAAUAAAGUAUAGGAGUCAAUUCUCAUGUAGAUACUGUAGAUGACCUAAGGUUGUCAAGCUUGGGAAUAUCUGCCAUUACCUGCUAACGCUAUUUUGCAGGCUUCACUUUUUAAAUAAUUGAGUAUAAUAUAAGGCUUUCUAUUGGCUAAAAUUCAAUAAUAUUUAAAGACACUUUUAAAAAGCAACAAUUUUAACAUCUGGAACUCAGGAUUAAAAUAUUUUCGUAACAGAAAAAAAAAAGAGGGAAAGGUGUCAACACAUACUUUCUGUGGAAAGAAAAAAAAAAUACAUUUCCCAUUCACAGAAUUUUAUAAAGAAUACCCAAAUACUUGAUUUUAAAGAUCAAAGUGGAGGAUUUUCAUGGAUGUUUAGAGUUCAAAACACAGAGAAACCAUCCAUUUAUCUCAUGAGGUGUGCAAUUUGCAUAUAGAAUGAAUAAAAGUAAAUAAAAGAAAAGCUUCACUAGGAAUAUUUCAAAGCUCAGGACAACAUCUGUUCUCUUGAGUGAAUGGUAAGAACAUUACAUCAUCAGCUCCAGCCACAGCUCUGGAAUGCAGAGGCCAGGAUUCAGCACCACCACAUACACCUUUCCUCCUGGAAAGCUGUCUUCAGUUGUCAGAAGGGGUCUCCUGUGUUCCCCUCCAAUAAUGAUGCCUCCAACCCCGCGUAAAUCUGAGCUUUCCUUUCUGUUUCUAAAGUUUAUACAUAUUAUCUGUCUUUCUUUUUAGUUAUAUUGUUACUGUUGCAGUGGUUUUGGUUUGUACUUCACAGGAGGGUUUCUCUGUGUAGCCUUGGCUGUCCUGAAACUUGCUCCAUAGACCAGGCUGACCUUGAUCUCACAGAGAUAUUCCUGACUCUGCCUCCUGAUUAAUGGGAUUAAAGAUGUGUGCCACUAAGCCUGACAAUUUUAGUUUGUUUCAAAAAAUUAAAAGAAUUUAUCAUGUCUUCUCCUUUUUUUCUUUCCCCACCUCUUCCAAUGCAUUUCAUUAUUCUCUCUCAAAAUCGUGUGUGUGUGUGUGUGUGUGUGUGUGUGUGUGUGUGUAUGCUCAGUCUGUCUAAUGUUACUGCUAUGUAUGUUAUUAUAGGGCUGAUCAAUUGGUAUUUUGUAAACACUCUGGUUGCUCCUCCAUGAGGAAGAGUAGUUCUCAGUUGCCUCUAGUUUUUGUCUAGGUUUAGGUUCCUUGAGAUUUCCUCUUCCAUGUUAACAUCUCCAUUGGCUUCUUUCAUCCCUGUACAGUUUUUUAAAAGCAGCACCUUGUACCUUUGCCUACAAUCCUUACAUCUUCCUUCCCUAGUACAAAUUAAGAUGUUUUUAGAGACAGAACAGUAAUUGACCUCUAAGUAACUUCACUGUUAUAUUUUAGAAAGGAACAAUAUGAUGUGAUGGAGAAGCCCUAAAGUGUGCAUCAAAACACUCAGCCUUCGGCCUCAGCUAGCACACAGGCUUGACCCCUCAUUGCAUCUGUCCUCCUUGGUCUUCAGUUGAACUGAGAAAGAAAUGAAUAGACUGUAGGAAGGUACUCACAUACUCCAGGUCAUCAUUCUAGUAUUCCUCAGAUUAUAAUGGCCCGUAACUCUGCUUUAGAGCAGGAAGUUAAUUAUGUCUAAGAAAAGAUUUAGCUUUGCAAACCAUGGUAAUCUUUUUAUCAAAUUGCAUAAUUCCAUUAAAAUGAAGAGUUACAUGGGUAAUGUUAAACAGGAAAGGAUCCACUGAAAACCAUUUCUACAUAGGUACUUCUUAAUAUUUUAUAAGAGUUAGGGCUUAGGACAGCCAGACAGCUUACCAAAUAAAGGCACUUGCCACCAAGGGUGAAGUCCUGAUUUUGAUUCCUGACAUUCAAAUCAUGAGAGGGCCUAGCUCCUGUGUUGUCUUCUGAUAUGAGCAUACAGUCCAGAGUUUCUG
rnacentral:lncRNA from 1 species